rnacentral:misc_RNA from 1 species
GAUGAAGAACGUAGCGGAAUGCGAUAAGUAAUGUGAAUUGCAGAAUUCAGUGAAUCAUCGAAUCUUUGAACGCACAUUGCGCCCGCCAGCACUCUGGCGGGCAUGCCUGUUCGAGCGUCAUUUCAACCAUCAAGCCCCCAGGGGCUUGUGCUGGGGCCCUGCGGCUGCCCGCAGGCCCUGAAAACCAGUGGCGGGCUCGCUAGUCACACCGAGCGCAGUAGCACAUCUCGCUCAGGGCGUGCGGCGGGCUCCUGCCGUGAAACCCCCCACUGUAACCCCAAAGGUUGACCUCGGAUCAGGUAGGAAUACCCGCUGAACUUAAGCAUAUCAAUAAGCGGAGGA